GGAAUUUUCGGCAAUGGGGGCAACCCCGUGACCCGAGCAACGCCGCGUGAGUGAAGAAGGUUUUCGGAUCGUAAAGCUCUGUUGUAAGAGAAGAACGUGUGUGAGAGUGGAAAGUUCACACAGUGACGGUAACUUACCAGAAAGGGACGGCUAACUACGCGCCAG
rnacentral:rRNA from 1 species